UUAGGUGGCUAUAGCGACGGGGCACCACCUCUUCCCAUUCCGAACAGAGAAGUUAAGCCCGUCAGCGCCGAUGGUACUGCGUAAAAGUGGGAGAGUAGGUCGCUGCCAAUUU
rnacentral:rRNA from 1 species